GUGCAUUAAUGGGGCUUUGGAGGGUGGAAACAGGAGGCCCGGUGAAAUCCCCGGUGAGAGCAGCCUUUUCGCCGUGGCCUGCGGUGAAGCACUAUGGCAGCACCCACACCUGCCAGGACUGAAGACCCCAAGCCAGUCUGUUCUCUUAAUGUCUAUUCUGCAGUUUGAUAUGUGACCAUUCACAGUGAGCUUGGUCAAUACAAAGAUGUUCCCAGAA
rnacentral:lncRNA from 1 species